rnacentral:miRNA from 1 species
UAAUAUACCAUUUAUUAAGCUGAG